CCCUUAGAUGUCCUGGGCUGCACGCGCGCUACACUGAUGUGUCCAGUAAGCACCUAACCUCUUCCGAAAGGAACGGGUAACCUUUGCAAAGCACAUCGUGAUAGGGAUAGACUAUUGCAAUUAUUGGUCUUCAACGAGGAAUUCCUAGUAGACGUAGUUCAUCAGACUGCAUCGAUUACGUCCCUGCCCUUUGUACACACCGCCCGUCGCUCCUACCGAUUGAAUGCUCAGGUGAGCCAUUCGGACUUUCAUCAUGCUGGUUUCCAGUUUUGAUGAAGGAAAGUCUUGCGAACCUUAUCAUUUAGAGGAAGGAGAAGUCGUAACA
rnacentral:rRNA from 1 species